rnacentral:rRNA from 1 species
GACGAACGCUGGCGGCGUGCUUAACACAUGCGAGUCGAACGGAAAGGCCCUGCUUUUGUGGGGUGCUCGAGUGGCGAACGGGUGAGUAACACGUGAGUAACCUGCCCUUGACUUUGGGAUAACUUCAGGAAACUGGGGCUAAUACCGGAUAGGAGCUCCUGCUGCAUGGUGGGGGUUGGAAAGUUUCGGCGGUUGGGGAUGGACUCGCGGCUUAUCAGCUUGUUGGUGGGGUAGUGGCUUACCAAGGCUUUGACGGGUAGCCGGCCUGAGAGGGUGACCGGCCACAUUGGGACUGAGAUACGGCCCAGAAUCCUACGGGAGGCAGCAGUGGGGAAUAUUGCACAAUGGGCGGAAGCCUGAUGCAGCAACGCCGCGUGCGGGAUGACGGCCUUCGGGUUGUAAACCGCUUUCGCCUGUGACGAAGCGUGAGUGACGGUAAUGGGUAAAGAAGCACCGGCUAACUACGUG